GCGAACUCCGUGCCAGAGGCCGCGGUAAUGUGGAGGGGGCUGGCGUUGUUCGGAAUGACUGGGGUUAAAGCGGAGGUAGGCGGAUCGGAAAGUUGGGGGUGAAAUCCCGGGGCUCAACCCCGGAACUGCCUUCAAAACGAUCGGUCUGGAGUUCGAGAGAGGUGAGUGGAAUUCCGAGUGUAGAGGUGAAAUUCGGAGAUAUUCGGAGGAACACCAGUGGCGAAGGCGGCUCACUGGCUCGAUACUGACGCUGAGGUGCGAAAGCGUGGGGAGCAAACAGGAUUAGAUACCCGUGUAGUC
rnacentral:rRNA from 1 species